UACGUAGGGUGCGAGCGUUAAUCGGAAUUACUGGGCGUAAAGCGUGCGCAGGCGGUCCGCAAAGUCUGAUGUGAAAGCCCCGGGCUCAACCUGGGAACUGCAUUGGAAACUAACGGGCUCGAGUGUGGCAGAGGGGGGUGGAAUUCCACGUGUAGCAGUGAAAUGCGUAGAGAUGUGGAGGAACACCGAUGGCGAAGGCAGCCCCCUGGGCUAACACUGACGCUCAGGCGCGAAAGCUAGGGGAGCAAACAGG
rnacentral:rRNA from 1 species